GAUCAUGGCUCAGGAUGAACGCUGGCGGCGUGCCUAACACAUGCAAGUCGAACGGGGUUAAGUGAAAUUUCGGAUGGAACUUAACUAGUGGCGGACGGGUGAGUAACGCGUGGAUAACCUGCCUCACACAGGGGGAUAGCAGCUGGAAACGGCUGGUAAUACCGCAUAAGACCACGGUGCCGCAUGGCGCUGAGGUAAAAGAUUUAUCGGUGUGAGAUGGAUCCGCGUCUGAUUAGCCAGUUGGCGGGGUAACGGCCCACCAAAGCGACGAUCAGUAGCCGGCCUGAGAGGGUGAACGGCCACAUUGGGACUGAGACACGGCCCAAACUCCUACGGGAGGCAGCAGUGGGGAAUAUUGCACAAUGGGCGCAAGCCUGAUGCAAGCAACGCCGCGUGAGUGAAGAAGUAUUUCGGUAUGUAAAGCUCUAUCGGCAGGGAAGAAAGGCCCGAAAGGGAGAUGACGGUACCUGACUAAGAAGCCCCGGCUAACUACGUGCCAGCCGCGGC
rnacentral:rRNA from 1 species